rnacentral:pre_miRNA from 1 species
UUUUUAGUAUAAGUAUGUUCUAUGCACUAUUUGAAACAUACUUAUACUACAA